UAGCCAGGGGGGGGGCCUAUAAUGCAGUCGAGCGAACAGACGAGGAGCUUGCUCCUCUGACGUUAGCGGCGGACGGGUGAGUAACACGUGGAUAACCUACCUAUAAGACUGGGAUAACUUCGGGAAACCGGAGCUAAUACCGGAUAACAUGUUGAACCGCAUGGUUCAACAGUGAAAGACGGUCUUGCUGUCACUUAUAGAUGGAUCCGCGCCGCAUUAGCUAGUUGGUAAGGUAACGGCUUACCAAGGCAACGAUGCGUAGCCGACCUGAGAGGGUGAUCGGCCACACUGGAACUGAGACACGGUCCAGACUCCUACGGGAGGCAGCAGUAGGGAAUCUUCCGCAAUGGGCGAAAGCCUGACGGAGCAACGCCGCGUGAGUGAAGAAGGUCUUCGGAUCGUAAAACUCUGUUAUUAGGGAAGAACAAAUGUGUAAGUAACUAUGCACGUCUUGACGGUACCUAAUCAGAAAGCCACGGCUAACUACGUGCCAGCAGCCGCGGUAAUACGUAGGUGGCAAGCGUUAUCCGGAAUUAUUGGGCGUAAAGCGCGCGUAGGCGGUUUUUUAAGUCUGAUGUGAAAGCCCACGGCUCAACCGUGGAGGGUCAUUGGAAACUGGAAAACUUUGAGUGCAGAAGAGGAAAGUGGUAUUCCAUGUGUAGCGGUGAAAUGCAGCAGAGAUAUGAGAGGAACACCAUGUGGCGAAGGCGACUUUCUGGUCUGUAUCUGACGCUGAUGUGCGAAAGCGUGGGGAUCAAACAGGGAUUAGAUACCC
rnacentral:rRNA from 1 species